GCCCUGGUGGUGAAGUGGUUAAAUCCUUGUACUGCAGUUGCAAGGUUGUGAGUUCAAUCCCAGCCAGGGGCU